UACAUAUAUAUAUCCUCACACACAUCCUGACUAAAUUAUAAUAAAUUGAACGAGAUCCAUCCAUCUGGCAUAAAUCUGAGGACCGCGAAUCCAGUCAGCGACGAGGUAAAAAGAAAAUCUCUUCGAUGGAUGUGGCAUUAUUUUAAAAGCGCAUAGGAAGAAAUGGUAAAUUUGCUACCAAUUUAGAAGAAGCCGAAAUUACAUUUUCUACGCAUGCUGUGGCAAGUUCUUAUACCUAUAUCUUAGUGAAAACAAGCAAAAAGGCUUUAAAAUUUGGGGUCACAUUUCAUAAUAAAGAACAGACGGUCUGUAUCGUGGAAAACGUCUCUCGUAUACAUCAAACACAUAUCUGUGCUCUUUGUAAUCGGCAAACUCAUUUCGUGUACUGCGAAAAGCAAGGAAUUAAUUACGCGAAUAGUUUAUUGCAAUCACUUUAAUUUACAUUCCUUUCUUGUGUUUUGUUUCUCAUAAUGUCUGAUUGUAAGAUAACGUACUUACCAGACGAGAUAAUAACCAUCAUUCUCGGCUAUAAUGUUAUCACUAUGGAGGAUAUCAUGAACUUUCGAUGCGUGUGCAAGAAAUUUCGUUAUGCAGCAACCACAUAUAACAAGUUCUUGGAAAAAAAGUUAUCUCAAAGAUGGCCCUAUGCAAAGAGAAGAUAUGAAAGUCUUACGGAAAAAGAAAAAGAAGAAAACCUAAAUUUUGUUAUAAUAGGCAUAAAUUC